rnacentral:rRNA from 1 species
AUGCACGCUGGCGGCGUGCUUAACCCCUGCAAGUCGCACGGAAAGGCCCAAGCUUGCUUGGGUACUCGAGUGGCGAACGGGUGAGUAACACGUGGGUGAUCUGCCCUGCACUUCGGGAUAAGCCUGGGAAACUGGGUCUAAUACCGGAUAGGACCACAUUUUGGAUGGUGUGGUGGAAAGUUUUUCGGUGUGGGAUGAGCUCGCAGCCUAUCAGCUUGUUGGUGGGGUAAUGGCCUACCAAGGCGUCGACGGGUAGCCGGCCUGAGAGGGUGUACGGCCACAUUGGGACUGAGAUACGGCCCAGACUCCUACGGGAGGCAGCAGUGGGGAAUAUUACACAAUGGGCGCAAGCCUGAUGCAGCGACGCCGCGUGGGGGAUGACGACCUUCGGGUUGUAAACUCCUUUCGCUAGGGACGAAGCGUUUUUGUGACGGUACCUGGAGAAGAAGCACCGGCUAACUACGUG